AACGCACAUUGCGCUCUCUGGUAUUCCGGAGAGCAUGCCUGUUUCAGAAUUGGUAACUCCCCUCUUGUCAUGUGAAAGAAGCUUUUAGCUUCUCUCACACACCGACAAGGACUUGGAUGUCAUCUGCAGUUUGGCAGAUCCAUCUGGAAUUCAGAGUGCAGAGUUACUUCUUGCAGCCUUAGCGCCGCCAAAAGUGCAACAGAUUUCAUCUUUACACUUGGGCAUGCUCUGGCUUGGAGGGUAGCACUGCUCCAAACACCCACACAUGGGAGGGCAACCGAAAGGGGGUCUUCUCAGAUGCUCAAUCUGAAAUCAGGCAAGAAAACCCGCUGAACUUAA
rnacentral:misc_RNA from 1 species